rnacentral:SRP_RNA from 2 species
GCCGAGUUGGAUAACAUCAACUUGUAACCCAAGUGGGGGCAACAAUGUGGUGGAACAUGGCUUAGGAUUUGCCAGGUUGGGUUAGUGGCUGCACCAUGCUGGCCUGCCCACUCCAAGUUGAGAGUUGGCCAAUGGGACCUAGGCGAAGGCUUGAGUCUCCUUGGUCCUAGACUGGCGGGCACUGCGUGAGGCUGGCUUCACAGAGCAGCGAGUACUGCCGCCUCUUGACAGUGGAGGGAUAACAGGCUGCUGCACUGCUAGCCCACAAAGCCUGGUGAGCCUAGCUACAUGAACCACCACUUUU